rnacentral:rRNA from 1 species
UACAGAGACCUCAAGCGUUAUCCGGAAUCAUUGGGCGUAAAGCGUACCGAUAGGUGGUUAUACAAGUCAGAAGUGAAAUUCCAAAGCUUAACUUUGGGUCUGUCUUUUGAAACUGUAUAACUAGAAGGGCAAAGAGGAAGCUGGAACAAACGGUGAUAGUAGUGAAAUGCGUUGAUAUCGUUUGGAACACCAAUAGCGUAGGCAGGCUUCUGGGUGCCACUUGACACUGCUAGGACGAAAGCGUGGGGAGCGAAUGGG